rnacentral:rRNA from 1 species
AUUGAACGCUGGAGGCCGGCAUAACACAUGCAAGUCGAGCGAGCGGCGGACGGGUGAGUAAUGUCUGGGAAACUGCCUGAUGGAGGGGGAUAAAUACUGGAAACGGUAGCUAAUACCGCGUACAAUCAGCAGUGCCCAGAUGGGAUUAGCUAGUAGGUGGGGUAACGGCUCACCUAGGCGACGAUCCCUAGAUGGUCUGAGAGGAUGACCAGCCACACUGGAACUGAGACACGUUCCAGACUCCUACGGGAGGCAGCAGUGGGUAAUAUUGCACAAUGGGCGCAAGCCUGAUGCAGCCAUGCCGCGUGUGUUAAGAAGGCCUUCGGGUUGUAAAGCACUUUCAGCGGGGAGGCGUUACCCGCAGAAGAAGCACCGGCUAACUCCGUGCCAGCAGCCGCGGUAAUUC